AGCGAACGCUGGCGGCAUGCUUAACACAUGCAAGUCGCACGAGGGGGCAACCCCUAGUGGCGGACGGGUGAGUAACGCGUAGGUAUCUGUCCCUGGGUGGGGGAUAACAGCGGGAAACUGCUGCUAAUACCGCAUGACACCUGAGGGUCAAAGGCGCGAGCCGCCUGUGGAGGAGCCUGCGUCCGAUUAGCUUGUUGGUGGGGUAACGGCCUACCAAGGGGAUGAUAGGUAGCUGGUCGGAGAGGAUGCUCAGCCACACUGGGACGUAGACACGGCCCAGACUCCUACGGGGGGCAGCCGUGGGGAAUAUUGGACAAUGGGCGCAAGCCUGAUCCAGCAAUGCCGCGUGGAUGAAGAAGGUCUUCGGAUUGUAAAGUCCUUUCGGCGGGGACGAUGAUGACGGUACCCGCAGAAGAAGCCCCGGCUAACUUCGUGCCAGCCGCCGC
rnacentral:rRNA from 1 species